UACAGAGGUCCCAAGCGUUGUUCGGAUUCACUGGGCGUAAAGGGUGCGUAGGUGGUCGGGUAAGUCUGAUGUGAAAUCCCGCAGCUCAACUGCGGAAUGGCAUUGGAUACUAUUUGGCUAGAGGGUUGGAGGGGGGACUGGAAUUCUCGGUGUGGCAGUGAAAUGCGUAGAUAUUGGGAGGAACACCAGUGGCGAAGGCGGCUCACUGGACCGGUACUGACGCUGAGGCGCGAAAGCGUGGGGAGCAAACGGG
rnacentral:rRNA from 1 species